GCCCGCUUGGUGAAAUGGUAGACACAGCGGACUUAAAAUCCGCCGGCUUCGGCUGUGCCGGUUCGACUCCGGCAGCGGGCACCA
rnacentral:tRNA from 1 species